GGUAUUUUGACCGUGCUAAGGUAGCAUAAUCAAUUGUUUUUUAAUUGAAAACUAGUAUGAACGGUUUAAUUUACUUAAUUAGUUUGUAAUUUUUAAUAGUAAGUUAAAUAUAAAGUAAGAAUUCUUUAAUAAAUUAGGGGACGAUAAGACCCUAAAAGCUUUAUGAUUGGCAUUUAAUUAGUGAUAGCGGUGUUAUUAAUUCACUGGGGCAGUGAGUUUAGGUAUAUUUAAGUAUAAUUAAAAGCUCCUUUAAAUAAAGAUUUCAUGUAUAAGUUACUUUAGGGAUAACAGUGCAAUAUAUUUGGGGAGACCAUAUCUAUAAAUAUGAUUGCAACCUCGAUGU
rnacentral:rRNA from 1 species